rnacentral:rRNA from 1 species
UACACACCGCCCGUCACACCACGAAAGUUGAUUGCACCAGAAGUCACUAUUCUAACCGUAAGGAGGAAGGUGCCCAAGGUGCGGUCGAUGAUUGGGGUG